rfam:Triticum urartu cultivar G1812 contig990839, whole genome shotgun sequence.
AAUAUACUUCCUCCGUUCCGAAUUAUUUGUCGCAGGUAUGGGUGUAUCUAGAUGUAUCUAGAUGUAUUUUAGUUCUAGAUAUAUCCAUUUCUGCGACGAGUAAUUUGGAACGGAGGGAGUAUAAC